UUACUUACCUGGCAGGGGAGAUACCGUGAUCAAGAAGGCGGUUCACCCAGGGCGAGGCUCAGCCAUUGCACUUCGGCUGUGCUGACCCCUGCGAAUUCCCCAAAUGUGGGAAUCUCGACUGCAUAAUUUCUGGUAGUGGGGGACUGCGUUCGCGCUCUCCCCUG
ensembl:snRNA U1 U1 spliceosomal RNA